rnacentral:rRNA from 1 species
UACGGGGGGGGCAAGCGUUGUUCGGAAUUACUGGGCGUAAAGGGCUCGUAGGCGGCCAACUAAGUCAGACGUGAAAUCCCCAGGCUUAACCUGGGAACUGCGUCUGAUACUGGAUGGCUUGAAUCCGGGAGAGGGAUGCGGAAUUCCAGGUGUAGCGGUGAAAUGCGUAGAUAUCUGGAGGAACACCGGUGGCGAAGGCGGCAUCCUGGACCGGCAUUGACGCUGAGGAGCGAAAGCCAGGGGAGCAAACGGG